rnacentral:rRNA from 1 species
AUUGAACGCUGGCGGCAGGCCUAACACAUGCAAGUCGAGCGGAGCGGCGGACGGGUGAGUAAUGCCUAGGAAUCUGCCUGGUAGUGGCGGAUCACGUCCGGAAACGGGCGCUAAUACCACAUACUAUCAGAUGAGCCUCGGUCGUCUUAGCUAGUUGGUGGGGUAAAGGCCUACCAAGUCGACGAUCCGUAACUGGUCGGAGAGGAUGAUCAGUCACACUGGAACUGAGACACGGUCCAGACUCCUACGGGAGGCAGCAGUGGGGAAUAUUGGGCAAUGGGCGAAAGCCUGACCCAGCCAUGCCGCGUGUGUGAAGAAGGUCUUCGGAUUGUAAAGCACUGUAGGUUGGGAGGCGUUACCUACAGAAUAAGCAACGGCUAACUUCGUGCCAGCAGCCGCGGUAAUUC